CUCGGCCGCCGAUUCGGGGAUCCGACCGGGCUGCGCGAAAGCGCCGCCGGGAGGAUGCGGGAGGCGGGAGAGUGGAGGGCGGGGGUCAAAGCAGAAGAGACGACCAGGGGGAGGAUCGGCAAAUCUGAAAUGUCACGGUGCACAUAAGAGGAUUGUGAGGAGAGUCUCCUCCCUGUGGAGCAGCUGAGAGGGGGGGAGAAAAAAAAAAAAAGGACGACGUUCACUUAAAGUGCAGCCAACCGCAGCGUGGGUGCGCUGAUGCUUGGCUCUGUCGCUGGAGUUGCUGAAGGCCUUGAAACAUCCUGGAUGCUGGCACGGGUACGGCUUCUCUCCAGUGUGACUGCGCAGGUGGAUCUUUAAGUUUUCCAGUCGAGAGAAGGCCUUCUUGCAGCCCUUGAACUGCGAGAAAAGAGAUUGCUGCUUUAAUCAUGGGGGCAGUAUUGGCACACCAAUUGCUUGUCAGCCGUGGGAGUUGAUGGAGAAACUCAGCAACAGCAUUCCACAUUCUAAUGAGAUCCAAUAUGACGCUGUCAAAGAGCGCU